rnacentral:SRP_RNA from 1 species
GCUGAGCGUGGUGGCGGGUGCCUGUAGUCCCAGCUACUUCGGGAGGCUGAGGCAGAAGAAUUGCUUGAACCCGGGAGGCGGAGGUUGCAGUGAGCUGAGAUCGUGCCACUGCACUCCAGCCUGGGUGACAAAAGCAAAACUCUGUCUCAAAANNNNNNNNNNUUUUUUUUGAGACGGAAUCUUGCUCUGUCACCCAGGCUGGAGUGCAGUGGCGUGAUCUCAGCUCACUACAACCUCCCCCUCCCAGGUUCAAGCAGUUCUCUGCCUCAG